GACGAACGCUGGCGGCGUGCUUAACACAUGCAAGUCGAGCGGUAAGGCCCUUUCGGGGUACACGAGCGGCGAACGGGUGAGUAACACGUGGGUGACCUGCCCUCAGCUCUGGGAUAAGCCUGGGGAACUGGGUCUAACACCGGAUAUGACUCCAUGACGCAUGUUGUGGGGUGGAAAGCCUUGUGCGGCUGAGGAUGGGGCCCGCGGCCUAUCAGCUUGUUGGUGGGGUGAGGCCUACCAAGGCGACGACGGGUAGCCGGCCUGAGAGGGCGACCGGCCACACUGGGACUGAGACACGGCCCAGACUCCUACGGGAGGCAGCAGUGGGGAAUCUUGCGCAAUGGGCGAAAGCCUGACGCAGCGACGCCGCGUGAGGGAUGACGGCCU
rnacentral:rRNA from 1 species